GUUUGAUGGUGUGGGAGAUUGUAUCUGAAAGAAGGGGCUAAUAAAGCUUAUAUCUGGUGUGAGAGAAUAAGCAGAGGGUAGAUCGAAUCCUGAGUGCCUACACGUGGCACAAAGUUAGUGGCUCUUAAAUGUUAUUGGAUCAUCUUGCAGCUAGUUGAGCUUUUGGGAAGGCUUAUGUGUAAAGUGUAAACAUCUCCUCUUAUGCACUUCUUCAUUGGUACCUGUUCACAAGUUGCUUAGGUUUUGCCACUUGCCAUACAUAGAUUCUCAAGAGGAAGUGGUCCGGAAACUGAAAAUUCUGUGCAGACACAUUGUUACUAUUUUACGUGUCAUCUUUUACUAUUUUCAUAUGAAUUUUAAAAGUACAUCUCUGAGUUAGGCUUCGAGUCUCAGAGCCAUCACCAACUGUUACGGGUGUACUACCUAUAGAAGUCUGGUUCAUAAAGUAAUGGCAAUGAGAAGCAUAUCGGAAAAUAAGACAUAAAAAACAUAGAGACUGUGGGCGUUCUAGGAUCCAACUCGAAUCCGCCAAGUAGUCUUGAGUCUAAAGAUUGGGAUUUACCUGAUGCACAAGUUGAAAGGCAUGUUGGAGUCCACAUGAGCAAAGGUGUCCGUAGAUGGUAUGUAGAAAUUUGCACUUGAUCCCCAUCAUAGUAAGUAGUAAGAAAACAUGACUCAUGAGUGUUGUCACAUCUCUGUAACAUUUUGAGUUUAUGAUGAUACUCUAUAUUAUUUAUUGUAGCUUUUUAGAUCUCAACCUGUGGAAGUAAUCUAAUUCAUACUACACCUGUUUGGAAAAUUUCAGGAACUUGUUUAUAGGAUCACAGAGGUAAUUGUAAAGUUUUGUGCUACACUCGUUUACUAGUCCACAGUAUCUUUAAGCACCAUUGCUAGUUUCUUGGUUAGCAAAUGCAAGCUAUUUGGUGACCCAUUCAUGUGUUCAGCAUCUUGGGUUUGCUUGUACUAGUAACCAUUAGUACUUUGAGUUGCCUUGUUGUUGUUAUGCUCAUAAUGUUUACUAUGUGGAAGCUACAGGAUAUGAUACUCUCUAGGUUUUAGGACUAGCUCCAGUUGCGCUUUUGGGUCCAGUGGAUGUAGAUACCCAUUUUGUGGUCCAAAAAGAAUGAGAUUUGACGGACGCUCUAGUGGCUUCCUUCACUCUAUGCCUCAAGAGCUGAAAAAUUUUACGAAAAGCGUAUUUAGCUGCAAAGACUGAGAAGAGAAUAAGAGUCGAGGGACCAUAUAAAGCUGUAAUUGUACGUUUUGUGCGGAUUCUCCACUUUCCAUGGCUGUGAGAAACUAUCUGAGGAAAAAUGCAAAAGUGCAGUGACCUUUGGCAAAAGGAAUUCAUCAGCUUAACCAUGGAAGUGGGAAGCUAUCCUAGUGGUAGAUAAGUUGAGAUCUGGCCCUUUCCAGGUGGCAGAAAGUGAAGGCUUUACAGUGUCACCCUUUUUCUUUUCUUGCCUUGUUAUUUGUUAGUGCCAGCAUAUAAUUGGAAAAAAGAGCUAUUAUUCUAAAAGAUAGAGCAAGAAAAAGAUUUCUCACACUGAAUAUCUUUGUUCAUUAGGAUGGUCCAUAGGCAUUGACAUAUUCUGUUAGCACUUGGUUGUGAGUGAUAGAAUCUUGUCAUCCGAGACAACCACGUGGGAAUGGAUUUGGCACCAAUGCUAAUCAGGAACAAGAAUAUGCGUCGAUGGAGGUAUGAAAAUGUCAUGGGGCGGCAUAAGUGGAAUCAUUUAUCUUCUACGAUAAAGACAGUGAUGUGGAAAGUGUCACCAAGAAAGGAAUGAACAGUGGAAUUAUUUGCUUUGAACUUAGGCAAGGAAUUUCAAACCAGAAGUAAUUUACAAGCAUGCAGUCUAGUCUUGCCAUAGCAGCAUCAGAAUGAUGGAACAAUUCCAUAUCCGGUGUCAAACGUUAUGAUUGUGGAGAAAGCUUCGUUUGCCUCUGCAUCAACUUCGUUCCUCUUUGCAAACCGCCCCUUGAUCCGUGGACUCUAGCCUCUCUGUCUCUUGGACUGAGCAUCUGAGCUGGAGGGUCAGGUAGUUGGUCUGUUACCGCUUUGGGCGAUCUUGGGUUUGUUGACUCUGGCACAACUCCCAGGUCAAUAGAUGAAACAUGUACCUAAUGACAGUAACAAAGACAUUCUUAGACAUUUAGUUGAUGCUGGUCAUAGUAAAGGAUCUGAAUUAAAUAUAUGAAAGCUUACCAUA